rnacentral:siRNA from 1 species
UGUUUUGCCUUGUUUGCUUCCCU